rnacentral:sRNA from 1 species
UCUCCGGGGCCCGGCACUCCAGCUGGAAGCGGAAGAGUUCUCGUCGCAUUGACCGGUUCACUUUCCCCGCCCUGGAAGAGGAUGUGAUUUAUGACGACGUCCCCUGCGAGAGCCCAGAUGCGCAUCAGCCUGGGGCUCUCCAUCCAAUGGGGAAGCACAGCCCCUGCUUUUGAGGAGCUCCGAGUCUGAUGGGGCAGCUCUAAUCAUCCUUGAGCAGCACAAAGCGCAAUGGGAGAAACACACAGACAACACGGCAAGGCCCGAGGGCCCCAGAGCCACACUCCUGACUCCUGUCUCAGGAACGGGGACACCUGGGCCAAGGAUAUGCUUAUCCCUUUAGCAAGCCUGGGAUGUGCUUAGAGCAUAUUUUCCUGUUUGUAGCUCACUUGAGUCCAGGGAGCAAUGGAUUCCCACUGUAUUAGGAAGCAAAGGAGUCUCAGAAAAGUCCCAGAGCUGGGAGGUCUGAGCGGCUGAGGGGCCUCAGUUGUUGUUUAACCCAUUUGGCCUAUUUCCCACCUGAGUUCAAUCAAGCCACUAAG